rnacentral:lncRNA from 1 species
AAUCCCAGCACUUUGGGAGGCCGAGGUGGGCAGAUCACGAGGUCAGGAGAUCGAGAGCAUCCUGGCUAACAUGGUGAAACCCCAUCUCUACUAAAAAUACAAAAAAUCAGCCGGGUGUGGUGAUGGGUGCCUGUAGUCCCAGCUACUCGGGAGGCUGUGGCAGGAGAAUGGCGUGAACCCGGGAGGUGGAGGUUGCAGUGAGCCGAGAUCGCGCCACUGCCCUCCAG